AUCCUUUAAGACCACUAUUAGUUUAGUCUUAGGACUAUAAGUAAAACAACCAUCUUCCUCAUUUAGCACCCUACAUGAGAGGUUGAACUCACUCUGCCAUUUAUGUUCAACCUCACUCCACUAUUGCAUUUGUUCAGCUUCACUAUGUUGGGGUUAAAUAUUCUAUUCAGACUCACUAUACUCAUUCUCAUUCUAUAAUCCAUGUUGUUUAUCCUCACUCCACUAUUGUAUUCGCUUAUCUUCACAUCAUUGUUAGGGUUGGACUCCUGUCUGUCCCCUCUUCCCCCUCCUCCGAAGAAAAAAAGUUUUGAAGUGUUGGGGCAGAAAGAAAAAAAUGAAAAAA
rnacentral:lncRNA from 1 species